UACGUAGGGUGCGAGCGUUAAUCGGAAUUACUGGGCGUAAAGCGUGCGCAGGCGGUUCGACAAGUCCGAUGUGAAAGGCCCGGGCUCAACCUGGGAAGGGCAUUGGAAACUGGCGAGCUUGAGUGUGGCAGAGGGGGGUGGAAUUCCGCGUGUAGCAGUGAAAUGCGUAGAGAUGCGGAGGAACACCGAUGGCGAAGGCAGCCCCCUGGGCUGACACUGACGCUCAGGCACGAAAGCGUGGGGAGCAAACAGG
rnacentral:rRNA from 1 species